UGAGCUACGUCCACACUGUUAAACUUAGUGCAAAUUUACAUAGUCAUGCCUAUGACGUUACGGAACUGAACGACAAGGGUCGAAUAGGUGACGGACACUUACGAAAGUUACGGGUAGGCAUGGUGUCUCGUGACUUUAGUCUACGGACACUAACGAAUGAUCCCGAUGCCAUUUGGCACACUCGUCCCAUUCCGUAAUCUACAAGAUACCGGGUGGUGAGGAAUGAGCCGAUAUGCCGCGAACUGAAAACUGCUCCAGGCGUCAGACGUCAGACGUCGAACUCGCGAGUGUGCAUGAAUGAUGUGGUAUUUAAUAAUUCGUCGGGUGAUUUUUGUGACAGAAAAGUGUGGUAGGGAACACUGUAAGGAUGAUGUGGAUAAUAGUAAGGAACGAUGGAGGAAUAAGCAUGACUAGUGACGACACAACGCAAGGGGGAAAAUGUUACACGACCAUUCCAUAAGAUAUCAUGAAGAAUGUUGAAUCAUUGAGGAAUACACCAAAUAAACCCUGGGCUGUGAAUUAUGUUAACGGAAGUGGAAGUGAAC